CGAAGGGGGCGAGCGUUGUUCGGAAUUAUUGGGCGUAAAGGGAGCGUAGGCGGUUCGAUAAGUCACUUGUGAAAUCUCUGGGCUCAACUCAGAGUCUGCAAGCGAAACUGUCGGGCUUGAGUAUGGGAGAGGUGAGUGGAAUUCCUGGUGUAGCGGUGAAAUGCGUAGAUAUCAGGAGGAACACCUGUGGCGAAAGCGGCUCACUGGACCAUUACUGACGCUGAUGCUCGAAAGCUAGGGGAGCAAGCAGGAUUAGAUACCCUGGUAGUCCUAGCCCUAAACGAUGAUUGCUUGGUGUGGUGGGUACCCAAUCCCACUGUGCCGAAGCUAACGCGAUAAGCAAUCCGCCUGGGGAGUACGGUCGCAAGGCUG
rnacentral:rRNA from 1 species